CCUACGGGGUGCAGCAGUGGGGAAUAUUGCGCAAUGGGCGAAAGCCUGACGCAGCGACGCCGCGUGAGGGAUGAAGGUCUUCGGAUCGUAAACCUCUGUCAGCAGGGAAGAACGGUCACUGUGCUAAUCAGCAGUGAAUUGACGGUACCUGCAAAGGAAGCACCGGCUAACUCCGUGCCAGCAGCCGCGGUAAUACGGAGGGUGCGAGCGUUAAUCGGAAUUACUGGGCGUAAAGCGCUCGUAGGCGGUAUGUCAAGUCAAGGGUGAAAUCCCCGCGCUCAACGUGGGAACUGCCUUUGAAACGGGCAAACUGGAGUGUGUGAGAGGAUAGUGGAAUUCCAGGUGUAGGAGUGAAAGCCGUAGAUAUCUGGAGGAACAUCAGUGGCGAAGGCGACUAUCUGGCACAUAACUGACGCUGAGGAGCGAAAGCGUGGGAAGCAAACAGGAUUAGAUACCCGUGUAGUC
rnacentral:rRNA from 1 species